UGCCAGCAGCCGCGGUAAUACGUAUGGUGCAAACGUUGUUCGGAAUCACUGGGCUUAAAGAGCACGUAGGCGGUUAAGAAAGUCUGAUGUGAAAUCCCCCGGCUCAACCGGGGAACUGCAUCCGAAACUUCUUAACUAGAGUGCAGGAGGGGAGAGUGGAAUUCCUGGUGGAGCGGUGAAAUGCGUAGAUAUCAGGAGGAACGCCGGUAGCGAAAGCGACUCUCUGGCCUGCUACUGACGCUGAGGUGCGAAAGCUAGGGGAGCGAACGGGAUUAGAUA
rnacentral:rRNA from 1 species